UCUAUGAAAUCUAUGGAUAGGUAUAUCCUGACACCGGUGCUUAGUGUUUAGAGCUAGCUACUGUGAGUGUGUGUGCGUGCGUGAAUGUGUGUGUGUUUGAGGGGAUCAGCACCAAGGUUUAUGG